CCUACGGGUGGCUGCAGUGAGGAAUAUUGGUCAAUGGGCGGAAGCCUGAACCAGCCAAGUAGCGUGCAGGAUGACGGCCCUACGGGUUGUAAACUGCUUUUAUACGGGAAUAACGCGCCUUACGUGUAGGGCUUUGCAUGUACCGUAUGAAUAAGGACCGGCUAAUUCCGUGCCAGCAGCCGCGGUAAUACGGAAGGUCCGGGCGUUAUCCGGAUUUAUUGGGUUUAAAGGGAGCGUAGGCCGCAUGUCAAGCGUGCUGUGAAAUGUCCGGGCUCAACCCGGGCCUUGCAGCGCGAACUGGCGUGCUUGAGUCCGCGGAAAGUACGCGGAAUGCGCGGUGUAGCGGUGAAAUGCUUAGAUAUCGCGCAGAACCCCGAUUGCGAAGGCAGCGUACCGGCUCCACACUGACGCUGAGGCACGAAAGCGUGGGUAUCGAACAGGAUUAGAUACCCCUGUAGUC
rnacentral:rRNA from 1 species